rnacentral:rRNA from 1 species
GAUUAACGCUAGCGGCAGGCCUAAUACAUGCAAGUCGAACGGUAACAUGGGUAGCAAUAUCUGAUGACGAGUGGCGCACGGGUGCGUAACGCGUAUGUAAUCUACCUCUAACUGGGGGAUAGCCUUCCGAAAGGAAGAUUAAUACCGCAUAAUAUAAAUGAAGAGGCAUCUUUUUGUUAUCAAAACUCUGGUGGUUAGAGAUGAACAUGCGUGACAUUAGCUAGUUGGUGAAGUAAUAGCUCACCAAGGCUACGAUGUCUAGGGGGUCUGAGAGGAUGACUCCCCCCACACUGGUACUGAGACACGGACCAGACUCCUACGGG